CUUGAAUUUCAAUAUCGUUGUAAGCUGAACAGACAUGUAUAUAACUACACAACCAGGGACUUUCUAUUCUAAGUAUAUACUUAGUAUAGAAAGUCCCUGCUACAACGAAUGGGAGUGUUUAACUACUAAGGCAUUGACCAUAAUGUUCUCGUACGAUCGGGUGACGUUAAAAAAACGAUCCAACAGCUGAUUCAGCCGGUAACGAAUUUCCGAUAUCAUAAAAGAUUCACAAUACGAAGGGAACUUGCUCUGCUUAAUUGAGCCCCUAAAUGAAUGUGAAUAGUUAAAAAUUUUAUUCAAAAUUGUCGAAAGCAAAGUUUCAUAUGUGUUCUCGUACGAAUAUAUACUGAAUAACAGACAGACGGUCACACGAAAAUGUAAAUAAAACUAUACUGAAACCAAGGAUUUGUAUAGUAAGACUUACUAUACAAUCCUGGUAUUAUACAAAUCCUUGCUGAAACGGUUAACUUUCGAUCAAAAAUCCGGAAAAUGACAGAUAUAUCACGUAUCAUGAUAACACUGUUAAAACUAAACUUGCGUUGUUUAUAAUAUAAAUUCAAGUUAUUCGUGUACAUAUUUCAUUUUAUUACUUCUAAAAAAAAAAUGGUGUAGAAAUUUCAGGGGAGGCAAGUGCCUC
rnacentral:lncRNA from 1 species